rnacentral:rRNA from 1 species
UAAUUGGAGUCUGGAAUGAAUGGUUGGAUGAGAGAUUUACUUUCUUUAUUUUAAAAACAAAAGUUGAUUUCUGGAUUAAAAAGUUUAGAUUUUAUUAGAGGACGAGAAGACCCUAUAGAACUUUAUUUCCCCAAAAUAAUUAUUUACUUGUAAAUAAUUUUUAUUUAUUUUUUGGGGGAAAUUUUGUUGGGGUGACAAAAAAAAUUUUAUAACUUUUUUUAUUUUUAUCAUUUAUGUAUGAUUUAUUGAUCCUUUAUUGAGGAAAUAAGAUUAAGUUACCUUAGGGAUAACAGCGUUAUUGUUUUGGAGAGUUCAUAUUGAUAAAAUAGUUUGCGACCUCGAUGUUGGAUUAAAAUUAGUCUUAGGGGCAGAAUACUAAUGACUAGGUCUGUUCGACCU